CAGGCUUAACACAUGCAAGUCGAGGGGCAGCAUGGUCUUAGCUUGCUAAGGCCGAUGGCGACCGGCGCACGGGUGAGUAACACGUAUCCAACCUGCCGUCUACUCUUGGACAGCCUUCUGAAAGGAAGAUUAAUACAAGAUGGCAUCAUGAGUCCGCAUGUUCACAUGAUUAAAGGUAUUCCGGUAGACGAUGGGGAUGCGUUCCAUUAGAUAGUAGGCGGGGUAACGGCCCACCUAGUCUUCGAUGGAUAGGGGUUCUGAGAGGAAGGUCCCCCACAUUGGAACUGAGACACGGUCCAAACUCCUACGGGAGGCAGCAGUGAGGAAUAUUGGUCAAUGGGCGCAGGCCUGAACCAGCCAAGUAGCGUGAAGGAUGACUGCCCUAUGGGUUGUAAACUUCUUUUAUAAAGGAAUAAAGUCGGGUAUGGAUACCCGUUUGCAUGUACUUUAUGAAUAAGGAUCGGCUAACUCCGUGCCAGCAGCCGCGGUAAUACGGAGGAUCCGAGCGUUAUCCGGAUUUAUUGGGUUUAAAGGGAGCGUAGAUGGAUGUUUAAGUCAGUUGUGAAAGUUUGCGGCUCAACCGUAAAAUUGCGGUUGAUACUGGAUAUCUUGAGUGCAGUUGAGGCAGGCGGAAUUCGUGGUGUAGCGGUGAAAUGCUUAGAUAUCACGAAGAACUCCGAUUGCGAAGGCAGCCUGCUAAGCUGCAACUGACAUUGAGGCUCGAAAGUGUGGGUAUCAAACAGGAUUAGAUACCCUGGUAGUCCACACGGUAAACGAUGAAUACUCGCUGUUUGCGAUAUACUGCAAGCGGCCAAGCGAAAGCGUUAAGUAUUCCACCUGGGGAGUACGCCGGCAACGGUGAAACUCAAAGGAAUUGACGGGGGCCCGCACAAGCGGAGGAACAUGUGGUUUAAUUCGAUGAUACGCGAGGAACCUUACCCGGGCUUAAAUUGCAGAUGAAUUACGGUGAAAGCCGUAAGCCGCAAGGCAUCUGUGAAGGUGCUGCAUGGUUGUCGUCAGCUCGUGCCGUGAGGUGUCGGCUUAAGUGCCAUAACGAGCGCAACCCUUGUUGUCAGUUACUAACAGGUUCCGCUGAGGACUCUGACAAGACUGCCAUCGUAAGAUGUGAGGAAGGUGGGGAUGACGUCAAAUCAGCACGGCCCUUACGUCCGGGGCUACACACGUGUUACAAUGGGGGGUACAGAGGGCCGCUACCACGCGAGUGGAUGCCAAUCCCAAAAACCUCUCUCAGUUCGGACUGGAGUCUGCAACCCGACUCCACGAAGCUGGAUUCGCUAGUAAUCGCGCAUCAGCCACGGCGCGGUGAAUACGUUCCCGGGCCUUGUACACACCGCCCGUCAAGCCAUGGGAGCCGGGGGUACCUGAAGUGCGUAACCGCGAGGAGCGCCCUAGGGUAAAACUGGUGACUGGGGCUAAG
rnacentral:rRNA from 1 species